rnacentral:pre_miRNA from 10 species
AGAUGUGAUGAAUUUGGCAGUUCCCAGCUCUGAGAACUGAAUUCCAUGGACUGGUUCCAGUUCCAUGUGUUCAGUCCAUGGUAUUCAGUUCUCUAGCUUGGCUGCAUCGAACUUCACGACUGCGAA